GGUGAAAAACUGCUGCCCUGUGAAUGAACAAAGAACUAGCCACAGUCAUGAAUGCUGAGGAACUGCAUGUCUGAAAUAAGACAGAAUCUGUGAAGUUAAGAAAAGGAUUAUGACACCCGUGUGACUGUAUGGGUCAUAGGCUGUAAGGAUGCUGCCAGGAGUGAUCUUUGGCAAGUGGUAAAUGCUGACAAUCAUAAUAGUGUCCAUGUACUUCUGUGAACAUAAGGAAGGAAAUCAUGAUGGGCCACAUAGCAUCAGCUCUUCUACCUGCUGAACAGAGAAAUUGCUCUAUGCUGUUUCUGGUAACUUGACCAUACACGCGACAGCACAUGCCUAGCUUUCCUCCCUUGGUCCAGCAAAUGCUCACCCGGAAAACACACAGUCAUAAAAUGUACCACACUAUAGCUAUGGUUGUGAAAACCAUCACUCACAUCGGCCAGGAGGAUCCCCACAGCCAGCUAGUCCUCCUCUGACUCAGCAGUCAUGCUCCUUACAUUGUAAAUGAAAAAGACUGUUUUCCAUAUUUUUUAUUUUAUUCUCAGUUGAAAAGGUCUGAAACCGAUGGAAGACUGCAUUUUUGAAGUAUGAAACUGGGAGUGUGCCUUCAAGCUUUCCUCCAGCAGGCAUUUCAAAAUGAAGCAGUUCCCAAAAAUCUUGUGACAUAUCUACCAAACCCACAUAGAUGUAGCUUGUGUCAUGAAGCAUCUAAAGUGGCACUGGAUGCUGAUGUUUGGGCAUUAAAUAUCAAUUUCUCUUUUUCUGUGAGAAAGUAUGUCUUCAAAACUGUGCUAUUAAAAAAGACAGAAAUAAUAGCUACAACACAAAUUUCACCUUUAGGAAAGCGUUCUGAUUACUAUACCAUUUUCAAAUUCUGACUAACUCUGCAGUGUAUUUUGUUACCAAAACUCAGUCAUGUAGUAUGUUAAAAGUUGUAAUGGAGCCUCUCAAAGCAAUAAACCAUUUCUAACAUGAGCUCUAUAAAACAUCUGACCUACAUAGUCUCAUAUCAAACUCUAAUUUCCUCUGCCUUUGUAUUCGCAUUCUAAUAUGAGAAAACUUAAAGUUCAGCAAAAGUAAUUGAAUGAGUACUGAAUAUUUUCUUGGUAUGCACUGGAAAAGUAUAAAUAAGUGCAUAAAUAUUAUGUUUACAUUUUUUUACUCUAACUAAUUUAGACAAAUACUAGUUGGUCUGGAGAACAGAAAGCUGAGGCCCUCUACAGCUACCUGAAAGGAGGCUGUAACGAGAUAGGUGUUUGUCUCUUCUCC